rnacentral:lncRNA from 1 species
UAUUUCCCCUUCUGUUAGCAGUUUCCAUUUCAGAGCUGGCAGAGUUUUCCGUUUUCCUCCAGGGUUUCUGCGUAUGAGAAAGUCGAUUUGAUGGUCACAAGCAUGGGAUCAGCAUGGUAAACACUUUGCUUCCAGCAUGCACCGAGUGCCUCGGUUGGCAUCACUUCCAGUCUCUGGAACCACUUAACGCAGCCUCCCUUUCAGGUACCCAGUGCUACGAAAGCUGCUGGACAGCUACAACACACCACUUCAAGCUGUGUGUUCACUGUAAUUCCUCCUUUCAUUACUCCAGCGAUGGAUACCAGAUCUCCUCCAAUACCAGCCAAGAAUGCUGCAGUGCAUGCUGUGGACAGCUCCCCAGAGACCGUUGUCAAAUGUGCUUCGACAUACUAGGACAGAUUGCUGGACCAUUCGGUGUAUGAUUUCACUAAACCCCUAUCCUCUCCAAAAUCCUGCAGUGCUACCCCAUCUCAGCACAGCUCAGGGGGAUUCCUGGGUCCCUCUGCCUACAUGCAGCACCCUUCUGCUUCCUGAUCUUGUCUGGGUGAGCUCUUUGUUAUUCUAAUGUGCACUGCCGGAUGACUGAGUUCAGGCACUUUGCCCCUUAUCUGGCUUUUCCAUCUACACAUCUUCAGUUGAAAUCUGUUCCCAGGCUCUCCACAGAGCUUCCCACAGGACUCCUUCAGCCUUUCUACCUUGUCCAUUGUCAUCACUGAUUGCAAUCACAGGUAACCUGAGGUAACCUGUUUCCUUCUUGGCCUGCAUGGUGCUGUGAGCAUGAAAAGACUGCCCUUGGCAAGACUUCUGGUACCUAGUGUUUGCUUUAUUUUUAAUUUCAGUCACUAAUAAAACUUGUAUAUCACCCUACUUGGGACCCUGU